CUUUGGCAGGCGUUUGUGUAAUACGCCAUAAGAAAAGAAAAGGAGUUGUUGUAUUUAACAGAUUAGACAACAUACAAAAAGAAAUAAGAUGAAGGAACAACAGAUUAAAUAUCAAGAGCAACCGCCACUUGAAUUCUUCACAACUGUACAACAAAUAUAAACCAAGCCUUCUCUUGGUCAUUAUGUUCAGGAAAGAAAUGCAGCAGCUAUUUCUUGCUUCAAGCUCUUCCAUUUUUGCGCGAAAUGAGGAUUUGAAAGGGAGACCAGAAGGCUUAAAGCAAGUUCGUACAAAUCAACAAGUGUUCAAAAAUCCCAAAACCUCAAGCAACCAAGCUCCACUCAAGGUAACCGAUGUGCUCUUUUACCAUUCUUUGAGAUAUGGUAUGAAUAUUUGAGAUUUAAAAUGAAGUAUUUCAGCUUAAGUGAAAUUACAACAU
rnacentral:lncRNA from 1 species